UUCUGAUUCUUUCGUAAUGAU
ensembl:piRNA 21ur-3686 ncRNA